rnacentral:rRNA from 1 species
UACGAAGGGGGCUAGCGUUGCUCGGAAUCACUGGGCGUAAAGCGCACGUAGGCGGGUUGUUAAGUCGGGGGUGAAAUCCUGGAGCUCAACUCCAGGACUGCCUUUGAUACUGGGAAUCUCGAGUCCGGGAGAGGUGAGUGGAACUGCGAGUGUAGAGGUGAAAUUCGUAGAUAUUCGCAAGAACACCAGUGGCGAAGGCGGCUCACUGGCCCGGUACUGACGCUGAGGUGCGAAAGCGUGGGGAGCAAACAGG